rnacentral:misc_RNA from 1 species
CGCAGCGUAUCCGGCGCCGAUACUUCGGCUGACUGAUCCUCGGAAGUGGAAGAACCAGCGGUUUACAACGAACGAGUUUGUUUGUGUAUUGUGGAACCAGCCGGCUCAGCUUUGGCUCAGCUGACCGUGUUAUUCCGCAAAAUGUCUUUGUUUGCUUAGUUAGUUUAGUUAUGUGUUAUUUUGAAAGAUUUUGUCAACGGCUAAAUUAAAUAAUUAUAGUGGACAGGGCAGAACCUCGAAACCACUUUUACACUCUCACUCGAUCAUGUUCAGUUCAAAUAUAUCGUCAAGCUCAUUUCAAAUAAAUCACAAGUGAUGAGUCGGUGCGUUUAGAGAUCUGACCGUCUAAGAAUUGGAAGAACAGAAAGGUAGCCGGCGACAACAGUUUCGAGGGUUCACCUACAUUGAGAAACCACUUUUACACUCUCACUCGAUCAUGUUCAGUUCAAAUAUAUCGU